AAGCACAAAACGGAGAUUCGAAUUUGGCUCCCCAGAACCAAAUUCCGGCCACCAACCACAUCGGAUUCUUCCACUCUUCUCCACCACCCAGAAAAAAAAAAAAGCAAAACCACCCCCAAAAAUUAGCCUCUUAGAAUCGAAUUUUGGAAGGGUUUUCGUCUUGGGCGUUUCAAAAACAAGAUGAAAAUAAUGUUCCAAUUUUCCGAAUUCUCACUAACUACUGUAAAUAGGGUUCAGAUCUGCAGCAGCUGCUCUAAAAAACCAUCAAUGCUUAUGCUCCUCCAUUCUACUGCAAUUCACCAGCUGGUUCC
rnacentral:lncRNA from 1 species